AUUGAACGCUGGCGGCAUGCCUUACACAUGCAAGUCGAACGGUAACGGGCCUUCGGGUGCCGACGAGUGGCGAACGGGGGCGUAAUACAUCGGAACGUGCCCGAUCGUGGGGGAUAACGAGGCGAAAGCUUUGCUAAUACCGCAUACGACCUACGGAUGAAAGCAGGGGACCGCAAGGCCUUGCGCGGACGGAGCGGCCGAUGGCAGAUUAGGUAGUUGGUGGGAUAAAAGCUUACCAAGCCGACGAUCUGUAGCUGGUCUGAGAGGAUGAUCAGCCACACUGGGACUGAGACACGGCCCAGACUCCUACGGGAGGCAGCAGUGGGGAAUUUUGGACAAUGGGCGCAAGCCUGAUCCAGCCAUGCCGCGUGCAGGAUGAAGGCCUUCGGGUUGUAAACUGCUUUUGUACGGAACGAAAAGCCUUCUUUUAAUACAGGAGGGUCAUGACGGUACCGUAAGAAUAAGCACCGGCUAACUACGUG
rnacentral:rRNA from 1 species